rnacentral:sRNA from 1 species
UUUGAUUCACCCCAUCCAUCUUCUAACAAAUCAUGCGGCUAACAUCCGGCGUAAUGGAUGGUCCAAGCAUGGCGAGGGGAGCAGAGCUCCGUUCUUCACCACAUUCAGAUACAACCAUAUCCGUAGGGAAAUAAGGGAUCCCCAUUGUCUGCUUAUUGCGGGUUCUGGCGAGCAGGAGCUGGCCUCGAAGGCAGUCUGCCAGCGAAGUCCAGCACUCAGAUCUCAAUACUAUGGACUUUAACUUCCCAACACAGUAAAGCCAUUGUCAUAUUAGAUCAAGUCUGUUCCGAAAAACUGUCCUGAUCC